rnacentral:rRNA from 1 species
UACGGGGGGGGCAAGCGUUGUUCGGAAUUACUGGGCGUAAAGGGCGCGUAGGCGGUUUGCUAAGUUGAAUGUGAAAACUCUGGGCUCAACCCAGAGCCUGCAUUCAAUACUGGCAGGCUAGAGUUCUGGAGGGGAUAGCGGAAUUCCUGGUGUAGCGGUGAAAUGCGUAGAUAUCAGGAGGAACACCGGUGGCGAAGGCGGCUAUCUGGACAGAGUCUGACGCUGAGGCGCGAAAGCUAGGGGAGCAAACAGG